AUAGCAGUGAUUAAACUGAAGAGUUUGAUCCUGGCUCAGAUUGAACGCUGGCGGAAUGCUUUACACAUGCAAGUCGAACGGCAGCACGGG
rnacentral:rRNA from 1 species